ensembl:snRNA U6 U6 spliceosomal RNA
GUGUUUGCUUCAGCAGCACAUAUAUUAAAUUGGAACAAUACAGAGAAGACUAGCAUGGUGCCUGCACAAGGAUGACCUGAAAAUUCAUGAAGUGUCCAUAUUUUCU